ensembl:antisense Gm16249 predicted gene 16249
GAAGCAAACCAGUAAGCAGCAUCCCUCCAUGGCCUCUGCAUCAGCUCCUGCCUCCAGGUUCCUGCCCUGUCUUAAAGAUCAGGAGGUGGAUGUAGGACUCAGAAUGUGAGGUCCAGAGAGUAAGGCCUGGCUCAAUGCUCAACGGACAUCAGGUCAGAUGGUCACUUGGAAGAGUUUUGUGACAAGCAUCAACAGAAUUUCUGUAGUGGUGCCUGGAACUGACGCUGCAUUGUGGGACUAUUUUACCUCUCACUUAGAGGAGAGGGCCUGGUGCUUUGAAACUUAACAAAAUCACUAGAACGGCUAAGACUGAGAGGAAGAGCUUGCAAGCCUUUCAGGGUUCCAAAGAGAUAGUGGAUGCCUGUGCUCCUGGCAGCAUCUCAUGCAGUGUCUUCCAGAUUGCUCUUCGGGUUCAUCAGGAGUUACAUGGUAUCUCUGUUCCCAGCUCCAGGAUACAAGGAGGUCAAGAGACUUUCUGUUUGGGAGUUAAUGUCUCCAUCAGGCUGAAGUAACAAAGAGUUUUCUGUUUUCUUCCACACAAGCUGUGCAGGAGUGUUACUGUGUUACAUCCACUCCAGUAGUGAUAAGCACAACAGGCCCCAAAAACCUGGGCGCUGUCCUGAGGCGAGGCGAAAAGUUCAUGGAAACUUAGUCUCCUGGAAUCAUGGCAUCCUGUAUAAUGAAUGCUUCAAUGUCCUUGCUUUAGUUGGUAAAUGGAUCUGUGUGCUUUCCCUUAAUAUUGCUUUAUUAUAAGUNNNNNNNNNNNNNNNNNNNNNNNNNNNNNNNNNNNNNNNNNNNNNNNNNNNNNNUAUCUAGGAAGAAGGAAGUUUGUGAUCUAAGGAGGAACCAGAGUAGAUACUUAGAACUAUAGAUAGCUGAGUUACACCCAUACACAAGUAUUUACAAUGGCCUAGGGGGGAGGUGGAUUAUAUAAUAGACUAGAAUAGGAACUAUGGCAAGGGCAUGAAGCCCUUGCCCCUGGCUUCUAAGAUUAAGUGGACCUUAGGUGGGGCUACUUUUGAUUCCCAGUUGUUAACAAUGAAUUUUAUCCCAGUUGGUUCCUGCCAGCCCUUCUGUGUUUGCAUUCCUCUGUUUUAUGUAAGAAUCCAGUAACCUCAUUGUACCUUGCUGGUGUGUCACCUAACUUCCCUAUUUUCUUCUGUAUAUUUGAUGCGCCAUUUGACAAAUUACAUUCAGAUCC